CGACUGCUAAGGCCGGAUAGGAAGAAAUAUGGCAUCUUAUUUCUUUUAAAAGACCUAGUAAUAGGUAUACUUUAGGAGGGGCUUGCGCCAUAUUAGUUAGUUGGUAGGGUAAUGGCCUACCAAGACGAUGAUGUGUAGCUGGACUGAGAGGUUGAACAGCCACAUUGGGACUGAGACACGGCCCAAACUCCUACGGGAGGCAGCAGUAAGGAAUUUUCGGCAAUGGAGGAAACUCUGACCGAGCAACGACGCGUGAACGACGAAGUACUUUGGUAUGUAAAGUUCUUUUAUCAAGGAAGAAAAGCAAGUGGCGAACCAUUUGUUUGCCGGUACUUGAUGAAUAAGCCCCGGCUAAUUAUGUGCCAGCAGCCGCGGUAAGACAUAAGGGGCAAGUGUUAUCCGGAAUUAUUGGGCGUAAAGGGUGCGUAGGCGGUCUAGUAAGUCAGUGGUGUAAUGGCAACGCUCAACGUUGUCCGGCUAUUGAAACUGCUAAACUUGAGUUAGAUAGAGGCGAGUGGAAUUCCAUGUGUAGCGGUAAAAUGCGUAAAUAUAUGGAGGAACACCAGAGGCGUAGGCGGCUCGCUGGGUCUUAACUGACGCUGAGGCACGAAAGCGUGGGGAGCAAACAGGAUUAGAUACCCUGGUAGUCCACGCCGUAAACGAUGAGUACUAAGUGUCGGGUUAAACCGGUACUGAAGUUAACACAUUAAGUACUCCGCCUGAGUAGUACGUACGCAAGUAUGAAACUUUAAGGGAUUUGACGGGACUCCGCACAAGCGGUGGAUCAUGUUGUUUAAUUCGAAGAUACCCGGAAAAACCUUACCGGGUCUUGACAUGUUUUUGCGAAACGGUAGUAAUAUCGUAGAGGUUAUCAGAAACACAGGUGGUGGCAUGGUUGUGCUCGUCAGCUCGUUGUCGUGAGAUGUUAGGUUAAGUCCUAAAACGAGCGAAACCCUUAUCGUUAGUUGCCAGCACGCCUUAUGGUGGGGACUUUAACGAGACGUGCCAGUGAUAAACUGGAGGAAGGUGAGGAUCACGAUCAAAUCAGCAUGGCCCCCUUAUGACCUGGGCUACAAACGUUUUAGAUACAAUGGCUGUUACAAAGGGUAGCUGAAACGUAAGUUCUUGGCCAAUCCCCAAAAACAGUCUUCCAGUCCGGAUUGAAGUCUUUUUGCAACUCGACUUCAUGAAGUUGGAAUCGCUAGUAAUCGCGAAUCAGCAUGUCGCGGUGAAUACGUUCUCAGGGUUUGUACACACCGC
rnacentral:rRNA from 1 species